rnacentral:rRNA from 1 species
GACGGGAGCUUGCUCCCUUAGGUCAGCGGCGGACGGGUGAGUAACACGUGGGUAACCUGCCUGUAAGACUGGGAUAACUCCGGGAAACCGGGGCUAAUACCGGAUGCUUGAUUGAGCCGCAUGGUUCAAUUAUAAAAGGUGGCUUUCAGCUACCACUUACAGAUGGGCCCGCGGCGCAUUAGCUAGUUGGUGAGGUAACGGCUCACCAAGGCGACGAUGCGUAGCCGACCUGAGAGGGUGAUCGGCCACACUGGGACUGAGACACGGCCCAGACUCCUACGGGAGGCAGCAGUAGGGAAUCUUCCGCAAUGGACGAAAGUCUGACGGAGCAACGCCGCGUGAGUGAUGAAGGUUUUCGGAUCGUAAAACUCUGUUGUUAGGGAAGAACAAGUACCGUUCGAAUAGGGCGGCACCUUGACGGUACCUAACCAGAAAGCCACGGCUAACUACGUGCCAGCAGCCGCGGUAAUACGUAGGUGGCAAGCGUUGUCCGGAAUUAUUGGGCGUAAAGCGCGCGCAGGCGGUUUCUUAAGUCUGAUGUGAAAGCCCCCGGCUCAACCGGGGAGGGUCAUUGGAAACUGGGGAACUUGAGUGCAGAAGAGGAGAGUGGAAUUCCACGUGUAGCGGUGAAUGCGUAGAGAUGUGGAGGCACACCAGUGGCGAAGGCGACUCUCUGGUCUGUGACUGACGCUGA